GAACGCUGGCGGCGCGCCUAACACAUGCAAGUCGAACGAGCGAGAGAGAGCUUGCUUUCUCGAGCGAGUGGCGAACGGGUGAGUAACGCGUGAGGAACCUGCCUCAAAGAGGGGGACAACAGUUGGAAACGACUGCUAAUACCGCAUAAGCCCACGGCUCGGCAUCGAGCAGAGGGAAAAGGAGCAAUCCGCUUUGAGAUGGCCUCGCGUCCGAUUAGCUAGUUGGUGAGGUAAUGGCCCACCAAGGCAACGAUCGGUAGCCGGACUGAGAGGUUGAACGGCCACAUUGGGACUGAGACACGGCCCAGACUCCUACGGGAGGCAGCAGUGGGGAAUAUUGCACAAUGGGGGAAACCCUGAUGCAGCGACGCCGCGUGGAGGAAGAAGGUCUUCGGAUUGUAAACUCCUGUUGUUGGGGAAGAUAAUGACGGUACCCAACAAGGAAGUGACGGCUAACUACGUGCCAGUAGCCGCGGUAAAACGUAGGUCACAAGCGUUGUCCGGAAUUACUGGGUGUAAAGGGAGCGCAGGCGGGAAGACAAGUUGGAAGUGAAAUCUAUGGGCUCAACCCAUAAACUGCUUUCAAAACUGUUUUUCUUGAGUAGUGCAGAGGUAGGCGGAAUUCCCGGUGUAGCGGUGGAAUGCGUAGAUAUCGGGAGGAACACCAGUGGCGAAGGCGGCCUACUGGGCACCAACUGACGCUGAGGCUCGAA
rnacentral:rRNA from 1 species